CGCCCGCUCAGAAACUUAAAGGAAUUGACGGGUCCCCGCACAAGCGGCGGAGCAUGCGGCUUAAUUCGAUGCAACCCGAAGAACCUUACCUGGGCUUGACAUCAUGGGAAAAGCCGUAGAGAUACGGUGUGCAUUAGCGUCCAUGACAGGUGGUGCAUGGCUGUCGUCAGCUCGUGUCGUGAGAUGUUGGGUUAAGUCCCGCAACGAGCGCAACCCUUGUCCUAUGUUGCCAGCGGUUCGGCCGGGGACUCAUAGGAGACUGCCGGGGACAACUCGGAGGAAGGUGAGGACGACGUCAAGUCAUCAUGCCCCUUAUGUCCAGGGCUGCACGCAUGCUACAAUGGUCGGUACAACGGGCUGCGAUCCCGCGAGGGUGAGCGAAUCCCUUAAAACCGGCCUCAGUUCGGAUUGGAGUCCGCAACUCGACUCCAUGAAGUCGGAGUCGCUAGUAAUCGCGGAUCAGCAAAGCCGCGGUGAAUGCGUUCUCGGGGAUU
rnacentral:rRNA from 1 species